rnacentral:rRNA from 1 species
UUGAUGUUGAUUAGCCAACGUGUAUUCCUGUGGCAAUUCUAGAGCUAAUACAUGCACCAAAGCUCCGACUUUUGAACGAGCGCAUCUAUUAGAUUAAAACCAAUCGGGUUAUUAGCCCGUUAAUUGGUGACUCUGAAUAGCUAUGGCUGAUCGCAUGGUCUUGUACCGGCGACGUAUCUAUCAAGUGUCUGCCUUAUCAACUUUCGAUGGUAGUUUAUGUGCCUACCAUGGUUGUAACGGGUAACGGAGAAUAAGGGUUCGACUCCGGAGAGGGAGCCUGAGAAACGGCUACCACAUCCAAGGAAGGCAGCAGGCGCGCAAAUUACCCACUCUCAGAAUGAGGAGGUAGUGACGAAAAAUAACGAGACCGUUCUCUUUGAGGCCGGUUAUCGGAAUGGGUACAAUUUAAACCUGUUAACGAGGAUCUAUGAGAGGGCAAGUCUGGUGCCAGCAGCCGCGGUAAUUUUCAGCUCUCAAAGUGUAUAUCGUCAUUGCUGCGGUUAAAAAGCUCGUAGUUGGAUCUGCGGUCUCAAGACCUGGUCCAUCCAUUGGAUGAGAACUGGGGCUCCUAGGGCUAAUAUUGCCGGUUUUCCAUAACGUUACCUUUGAUUGG